rfam:Trichobilharzia regenti genome assembly, scaffold: TRE_scaffold0012572
AUCCAGAUGACGAGUACCAAAUAGGACGAAAUGCACAUCCUGGAU